rnacentral:rRNA from 1 species
UGCGAAGGGUGCAAGCGUUACUCGGAAUUACUGGGCGUAAAGCGUGCGUAGGUGGUUCGUUAAGUCUGUCGUGAAAGCCCCGGGCUCAACCUGGGAAUGGCGAUGGAAACUGGCGAGCUAGAGUGCGGUAGAGGGCGGUGGAAUUCCCGGUGUAGCAGUGAAAUGCGUAGAGAUCGGGAGGAACAUCAGUGGCGAAGGCGGCCGCCUGGACCAGCACUGACACUGAGAGACGAAAGCUAGGGGAGCGAAUGGG